rnacentral:rRNA from 1 species
GACGAACGCUGGCGGCGUGCCUAACACAUGCAAGUCGAACGAAGCAUAGCAAUAUGCUUAGUGGCGGACGGGUGAGUAACGCGUGAACAAUCUGCCCUGUACAAAGGAAUAGCCUCGGGAAACCGGGAUUAAAACCGUAUGACACUUUAGUAUCGCAUGAUAAGAAAGUCAAAUCGAAUAGAGGUAUGGGAUGAGUUCGCGUCUGAUUAGCUGGUUGGCGGGGUAACGGCCCACCAAGGCGACGAUCAGUAGCCGGCCUGAGAGGGUGAACGGCCACACUGGAACUGAGACACGGUCCAGACUCCUACGGGAGGCAGCAGUGGGGAAUAUUGCACAAUGGAGGGAACUCUGAUGCAGCGACGCCGCGUGAGUGAAGAAGGUCUUCGGAUCGUAAAACUCUGUCCUUGGUGAAGAAAAGGACGGUAGCCAAGGAGGAAGCCCCGGUAACUACGUG